rnacentral:lncRNA from 1 species
UUUUUUUUUAUUUAAAAAUGAGGGGUGUGGAUAAACCUGACAAUCUUGAUCCAAACCCACGGGUACCCACGGGUUGCCCAUAAAUUUGCGAGUAUGGAUACGAACUUUUCCAACUCAAAAAAUUAUGGGUAAAACAGGUGGGUACCCAUUAAGCAGUAGACAUUUUGGGUAACCUGCGGGUACCUACGGGUACCCGCACAUAUAUUUCUUAAUUACAAAAUAUAUUUUUUCAAUUAAUAUAUAUUUUUUAUUUACCUAUCCUAAAAA